AUCACUGGCGGGCCGUGCAGGGAGGGGGCAACCCCUGCCGGUCCAUUCCCGGUCCGCCAACCUUGCACGGUCUGCCACCCUA
rnacentral:antisense_RNA from 1 species